UACAGAGGGUGCAAGCGUUAAUCGGAAUUACUGGGCGUAAAGCGUGCGUAGUCGGUUAUUUAAGUCGGGUGUGAAAGCCCCGGGCUCAACCUGGGAAUUGCAUUCGAUACUGGAUAGCUAGAGUUCGGCAGAGGGAAGCGGAAUUUCCGGUGUAGCGGUGAAAUGCGCAGAGAUCGGGAGGAACACCAAUGGCGAAAGCAGGUACCUGGACCAUUACUGACACUCAACUGCGAAAGCUAGGGGAGCAAACAGG
rnacentral:rRNA from 1 species